rnacentral:rRNA from 1 species
AUGAACGCUGGCGGCGUGCCUAAUACAUGCAAGUCGAGCGAACAGACGAGGAGCUUGCUCCUCUGACGUUAGCGGCGGACGGGUGAGUAACACGUGGAUAACCUACCUAUAAGACUGGGAUAACUUCGGGAAACCGGAGCUAAUACCGGAUAAUAUAUUGAACCGCAUGGUUCAAUAGUGAAAGACGGUUUUGCUGUCACUUAUAGAUGGAUCCGCGCCGCAUUAGCUAGUUGGUAAGGUAACGGCUUACCAAGGCAACGAUGCGUAGCCGACCUGAGAGGGUGAUCGGCCACACUGGAACUGAGACACGGUCCAGACUCCUACGGGAGGCAGCAGUAGGGAAUCUUCCGCAAUGGGCGAAAGCCUGACGGAGCAACGCCGCGUGAGUGUUGAAGGUCUUCGGAUCGUAAAACUCUGUUAUUAGGGAAGAACAAAUGUGUAAGUAACUAUGCACGUCUUGACGGUACCUAAUCAGAAAGCCACGGCUAACUACGUG